UAACCUUAGUCUUGUGGACAUGACAUCUGCCCGGUAAGCGGAACACUGUGGGUUCGAUUCCCAUCCCUGGACAC
rnacentral:tRNA from 1 species